rnacentral:rRNA from 1 species
GACGAGCGCUGGCGGCGUGCUUAACACAUGCAAGUCGAGCGGUAAGGCCCUUUCGGGGGUACGACGAGCGGCGAACGGGUGAGUAACACGUGGGUGACCUGCCCUCAGCUCUGGGAUAAGCCUGGGAAACCGGGUCUAAUACUGGAUAUGACUCCAUGACGCAUGUUGUGGGGUGGAAAGCCUUGUGCGGCUGAGGAUGGGCCCGCGGCCUAUCAGCUUGUUGGUGGGGUGAUGGCCUACCAAGGCGACGACGGGUAGCCGGCCUGAGAGGGCGACCGGCCACACUGGGACUGAGACACGGCCCAGACUCCUACGGGAGGCAGCAGUGGGGAAUCUUGCGCAAUGGGCGAAAGCCUGACGCAGCGACGCCGCGUGAGGGAUGACGGCC